UGUCACAAGGUUACUCAUUUUACAGCUGAGCAGACUGAAGCAACAUGAAAUGAAGUGUUUUGCUCAAGAACACAAUACAAUAAAUGAAACCACAA